rnacentral:SRP_RNA from 2 species
GCCGGGCAUGGUGGCGCAUGCCUGUAAUCCCAGCUACUCAGGAGGCUGAGUCAGGAGAACUGCUUGAACCCAGGAGGCGGAGGUUGCAGCGAGCCGAGAUUGUGCCACUGCACUCCAGCCUGGGUGACAGAGUAAGACUCUGUCUCAA